rnacentral:tRNA from 1 species
GCCUCAGUAGUAUAAAAAUUACAUUGGUCUUGUAAACCAAAUAUGGAGUACUAAUCUAGUCCAAACA